GAAUUUUGUCAGAUGCUUUUUCUGCAUCUACUGAAAUGAUCAUGUGAUCAUCUGGGUUUUCUUUUUUAAGUUUACUAAUAUAGUGAAUUACGCUGAUUGGCUUUCAAAUAUUAAACCAAUCUUGCAAUCCUGGGAUAAACUUCACUUCAUCAUAAUAAUGUUUUAUCCUUUAUAUAUAUAUAUAUGUAUUUUAUUUUUUAAAAAACUCAUGAUGAGAACUCAAACUUCAAAGUUAAACAUAGGAGUAAUUAUCCUCUCCGAAAGAUUCACUCUUGGAAUUUCUUAAAAUAAUAGUGUUCUCCCCAUAGGUUUAAGUAUUUGUUUACAUAUCAUUAACAACUUCCUUGAAAACUCUGGAAGGAAAGCAGGCUGAGGGAGAAGACACUCAAUGCUGGAAUGUCAAUUGGUGCGCACAGUCAAUUAAGGUUAUCAGUCAAAAGACAGGCUCAUUUUGGAAUACUCAUAUAAGUAAAUGGGAAAUGAUUCGAGCUACGGAAAUUGAGCAAACAUAUAGUAGUGUGAAAAGGGCACAUCUGUAUGGUCCCAUCUCCCUGACUCUGUAGUCAGGAAGCAGAACUCUGGGGCUUGCAUGCUCCACAGGGUCUUCAUUAAUGUUGCUGACAGACUUCCCUUAAUUAGUCCCUUGGGAAGGAGACUUUGUACUCCAGGGACUCUGAGAAAGAGAAUCCUGUAAGGACAGCUGUUUGCCCAUUUCCUGUUUCUGGAGAAGUGGUUUGUUUUCCUGGCUUUAAGGGUUACUCAGUCCUCAAAGAUGUCAGAGAUCUUUCUUUACCCUGACAGAUAAUGCCGUUUAGGUGGUUCAGGUUCCGGCUAAUUUUAGAAUUGGAAGUAACAGUACAUUUAGUGAAAUGUAUUACAUGAAUUUUAAGUAGAAUAAUGAAGACAUCCCAAUAAUUUUUAGAAAAAAACACCAGCAUUUUUUUAAAAUCCAAAUGAACAAAAUCCUUUAAAGUGGUCACUUAUUCAAAGCAUAUUUGGAAUACCUUUCAUGGUAUUACCUUGGGUCAAUUUGUAAGACAUAUUUGGGGCCAAAAUGGUUAUAUGCAAAUUACUUACCAGAUUUUAUUUUGAAUGAGUUUGGGCUUCUAUGAAAAUCAAAUUUAUCUUUCCCUGAGAGACAGUCUAAAGAAGCAAUUUUAAAACUUUCUUGAAUGAUGAUUUUACUCUUAGAAUAAGUAUGGAGUGAUCUCCAAUUGCUACAUGGAAGGAGACAACAUUCAUUUGGAUAGUGAAGUUCUAAUGUGUUGAUUUUAGAGGCUAGUAUGGGAUGGUUUGCACAAUUAUUUCUGUAAUUGGGUUUAAAUGUGAGAUAAAAUGAAACAGUGGGUCCCCCUACUACUUCCCUCUAGCAGGAGCUUUCGACAUUGGUGGGGACCUGGACCCUAAGUACAUCAGGUGGGGUCCUGGCCCUACCUACGUUGAGAUACUCCUCAAAGCUAGAUGUCCCUGCAGCUUAUUAUCUUAUUUCGUAGUUUCAACAUAGAGUCUCUUUUUUAAAUCUCGAAAUAAAAUAUUGAAUUUCUCAAUUUUGCUUUUUUCUUAUUCUAAACUUCAUGAAUAGAACUAUUUCUUAUUGCAAUUA
ensembl:lncRNA